rnacentral:rRNA from 1 species
CCUACGGGUGGCUGCAGUGGGGAAUAUUGGGCAAUGGGGGGAACCCUGACCCAGCAACGCCGCGUGAGGGAAGAAGGCCUUCGGGUUGUAAACCUCUGUCAUUAGGGAAGAAGAAAGUGACGGUACCUAAUGAGGAAGCCCCGGCUAACUACGUGCCAGCAGCCGCGGUAAUACGUAGGGGGCGAGCGUUGUCCGGAAUUACUGGGCGUAAAGGGUGCGCAGGCGGCUAUUUAAGUUGGAUGUGAAAUACCCGGGCUUAACCUGGGGGGUGCAUUCAAAACUGGGUAGCUAGAGUGCAGGAGAGGGAAGCGGAAUUCCUAGUGUAGCGGUGAAAUGCGUAGAUAUUAGGAGGAACACCAGUGGCGAAGGCGGCUUUCUGGACUGUAACUGACGCUGAGGCACGAAAGCGUGGGGAGCAAACAGGAUUAGAUACCCCGGUAGUC